UGUGUACUCCCUCCGUUACAAAAUACUUGACUUCCAUUUGUCCAAAAAUGGAUGUACCUAUAUACUAAGACAUGUCUAGAUACAUAUAUAUUUUGACAAAUAGAAGGCAUGUAUUGUGCAACGGAGGGAGUAGAAU
rfam:Triticum aestivum genome assembly, contig: Triticum_aestivum_CS42_TGACv1_scaffold_200960_3AL